UACGGAGGGUGCAAGCGUUAUCCGGAUUCACUGGGUUUAAAGGGUGCGUAGGUGGGCAGGUAAGUCAGUGGUGAAAUCUCCGGGCUUAACUCGGAAACUGCCAUUGAUACUAUCUGUCUUGAAUGCCGUGGAGGUCAGCGGAAUAUGUCAUGUAGCGGUGAAAUGCUUAGAUAUGACAUAGAACACCAAUUGCGAAGGCAGCUGGCUACACGAAUAUUGACACUGAUGCACGAAAGCGUGGGGAUCAAACAGG
rnacentral:rRNA from 1 species